rnacentral:rRNA from 1 species
AGCUACAGGCUUAACACAUGCAAGUCGAGGGGAAACGACAUCGAAAGCUUGCUUUUGAUGGGCGUCGACCGGCGCACGGGUGAGUAACGCGUAUCCAACCUGCCCAUCACUUGGGGAUAACCUUGCGAAAGUAAGACUAAUACCCAAUGACGUCUCUAGAAGACAUCUGAAAGAGAUUAAAGAUUUAUCGGUGAUGGAUGGGGAUGCGUCUGAUUAGCUUGUUGGCGGGGUAACGGCCCACCAAGGCGACGAUCAGUAGGGGUUCUGAGAGGAAGGUCCCCCACAUUGGAACUGAGACACGGUCCAAACUCCUACGGGAGGCAGCAGUGAGGAAUAUUGGUCAAUGGGCGAGAGCCUGAACCAGCCAAGUAGCGCGCAGGAUGACGGCCCUAUGGGUUGUAAACUGCUUUUAUAAGGGAAUAAAGUGAGUCUCGUGAGACUUUUUGCAUGUACCUUAUGAAUAAGGACCGGCUAAUUCCGUGCCAGCAGCCGCGGUAAUACGGAAGGUCCGGGCGUUAUCCGGAUUUAUUGGGUUUAAAGGGAGCGUAGGCCGGAGAUUAAGCGUGUUGUGAAAUGUAGAUGCUCAACAUCUGAACUGCAGCGCGAACUGGUUUCCUUGAGUACGCACAAAGUGGGCGGAAUUCGUGGUGUAGCGGUGAAAUGCUUAGAUAUCACGAAGAACUCCGAUUGCGAAGGCAGCUCACUGGAGCGCAACUGACGCUGAAGCUCGAAAGUGCGGGUAUCGAACAGGAUUAGAUACCCUGGUAGUCCGCACGGUAAACGAUGGAUGCCCGCUGUUGGUCUGAAUAGGUCAGCGGCCAAGCGAAGGCAUUAAGCAUCCCACCUGGGGAGUACGCCGGCAACGGUGAAACUCAAAGG